rnacentral:rRNA from 1 species
UACAGAGGGUGCAACCGUUGCUCGGAAUCAUUGGGCGUAAAGCGCACGUAGGCGGCCCAGCAAGCGGGGAGUGAAAGCCCUCGGCUUAACCGAGGAAGUGCUUUCCGAACUACUGGGCUUGAAUACUGGAGAGGGUCGCGGAAUUCCCGGUGUAGAGGUGAAAUUCGUAGAUAUCGGGAGGAACACCAGUGGCGAAGGCGGCGACCUGGACAGAUAUUGACGCUGAGGUGCGAAAGCGUGGGGAGCAAACAGG